AUGUUGACCCGGUAGGUAUUAGAUAUCACUGGGGUUCUGACAGAUGUUGACCCGGUAGGUAUUAGAUAUCACUGGGGUUCUGACAGAUGUUGACCCGGUAGGUAUUAGAUAUCACUGGGGUUCUGACAGAUGUUGACCCGGUGGGUAUUAGAUAUCACUGGGGUUCAGAUGUUGACCCGGUGGGUAUUAGAUAUCACUGGGGUUCUGACAGAUGUUGACCCGGUAGGUAUUAGAUAUCACUGGGGUUCUGACAGAUGUUGACCCGGUGGGUAUUAGAUAUCACUGGGGUUCUGACAGAUGUUGACCCGGUGGGUAUUAGAUAUCACUGGGGUUCUGACAGAUGUUGACCCGGUAGGUAGUAGAUAUCACUGGGGUUCUGACAGAUGUUGACCCGGUGGGUAUUAGAUAUCACUGGGGUUCUGACAGAUGUUGACCCGGUAGGUAUUAGAUAUCACUGGGGUUCUGACAGAUGUUGACCCGGUGGGUAGUAGAUAUCACUGGGGUUCUGACAGAUGUUGACCCGGUAGGUAUUAGAUAUCACUGGGGUUCUGACAGAUGUUGACCCGGUGGGUAGUAGAUAUCACUGGGGUUCUGACAGAUGUUGACCCGGUAGGUAUUAGAUAUCACUGGGGUUCUGACAGAUGUUGACCCGGUGGGUAUUAGAUAUCACUGGGGUUCUGACAGAUGUUGACCCGGUAGGUAUUAGAUAUCACUGGGGUUCAGAUGUUGACCCGGUGGGUAUUAGAUAUCACUGGGGUUCUGACAGAUGUUGACCCGGUAGGUAUUAGAUAUCACUGGGGUUCUGACAGAUGUUGACCCGGUAGGUAGUAGAUAUCACUGGGGUUCUGACAGAUGUUGACCCGGUAGGUAUUAGAUAUCACUGGGGUUCUGACAGAUGUUGACCCGGUGGGUAUUAGAUAUCACUGGGGUUCUGACAGAUGUUGACCCGGUAGGUAUUAGAUAUCACUGGGGUUCUGACAGAUGUUGACCCGGUGGGUAUUAGAUAUCACUGGGGUUCUGACAGAUGUUGACCCGGUGGGUAUUAGAUAUCACUGGGGUUCAGAUGUUGACCCGGUGGGUAUUAGAUAUCACUGGGGUUCAGAUGUUGACCCGGUGGGUAUUAGAUAUCACUGGGGUUCUGACAGAUGUUGACCCGGUAGGUAUUAGAUAUCACUGGGGUUCUGACAGAUGUUGACCCGGUGGGUAUUAGAUAUCACUGGGGUUCUGACAGAUGUUGACCCGGUGGGUAUUAGAUAUCACUGGGGUUCUGACAGAUGUUGACCCGGUGGGUAUUAGAUAUCACUGGGGUUCUGACAGAUGUUGACCCGGUAGGUAUUAGAUAUCACUGGGGUUCAGAUGUUGACCCGGUGGGUAUUAGAUAUCACUGGGGUUCUGACAGAUGUUGACCCGGUAGGUAGUAGAUAUCACUGGGGUUCUGACAGAUGUUGACCCGGUAGGUAUUAGAUAUCACUGGGGUUCUGACAGAUGUUGACCCGGUAGGUAUUAGAUAUCACUGGGGUUCUGACAGAUGUUGACCCGGUGGGUAUUAGAUAUCACUGGGGUUCUGACAGAUGUUGACCCGGUAGGUAUUAGAUAUCACUGGGGUUCUGACAGAUGUUGACCCGGUGGGUAUUAGAUAUCACUGGGGUUCUGACAGAUGUUGACCCGGUAGGUAUUAGAUAUCA